rnacentral:rRNA from 1 species
AGCUACAGGCUUAACACAUGCAAGUCGAGGGGCAGCAUGGUCUUAGCUUGCUAAGGCCGAUGGCGACCGGCGCACGGGUGAGUAACACGUAUCCAACCUGCCGUCUACUCUUGGACAGCCUUCUGAAAGGAAGAUUAAUACAAGAUGGCAUCAUGAGUCCACAUGUUCACAUGAUUAAAGGUAUUCCGGUAGACGAUGGGGAUGCGUUCCAUUAGAUAGUAGGCGGGGUAACGGCCCACCUAGUCUUCGAUGGAUAGGGGUUCUGAGAGGAAGGUCCCCCACAUUGGAACUGAGACACGGUCCAAACUCCUACGGGAGGCAGCAGUGAGGAAUAUUGGUCAAUGGGCGAGAGCCUGAACCAGCCAAGUAGCGUGAAGGAUGACUGCCCUAUGGGUUGUAAACUUCUUUUAUAAAGGAAUAAAGUCGGGUAUGCAUACCCGUUUGCAUGUACUUUAUGAAUAAGGAUCGGCUAACUCCGUGCCAGCAGCCGCGGUAAUACGGAGGAUCCGAGCGUUAUCCGGAUUUAUUGGGUUUAAAGGGAGCGUAGAUGGAUGUUUAAGUCAGUUGUGAAAGUUUGCGGCUCAACCGUAAAAUUGCAGUUGAUACUGGAUAUCUUGAGUGCAGUUGAGGCAGGCGGAAUUCGUGGUGUAGCGGUGAAAUGCUUAGAUAUCACGAAGAACUCCGAUUGCGAAGGCAGCCUGCUAAGCUGCAACUGACAUUGAGGCUCGAAAGUGUGGGUAUCAAACAGGAUUAGAUACCCUGGUAAUCCACACGGUAAACGAUGAAUACUCGCUGUUUGCGAUAUACUGCAAGCGGCCAAGCGAAAGCGUUAAGUAUUCCACCUGGGGAGUACGCCGGCAACGGUGAAACUCAAAGGAAUUGACGGGGGCCCGCACAAGCGGAGGAACAUGUGGUUUAAUUCGAUGAUACGCGAGGAACCUUACCCGGGCUUAAAUUGCAGAUGAAUUACGGUGAAAGCCGUAAGCCGCAAGGCAUCUGUGAAGGUGCUGCAUGGUUGUCGUCAGCUCGUGCCGUGAGGUGUCGACUUAAGUGCCAUAACGAGCGCAACCCUUGUUGUCAGUUACUAACAGGUUCUGCUGAGGACUCUGACAAGACUGCCAUCGUAAGAUGUGAGGAAGGUGGGGAUGACGUCAAAUCAGCACGGCCCUUACGUCCGGGGCUACACACGUGUUACAAUGGGGGGUACAGAGGGCCGCUACCACGCGAGUGGAUGCCAAUCCCAAAAACCUCUCUCAGUUCGGACUGGAGUCCGCAACCCGACUCCACGAAGCUGGAUUCGCUAGUAAUCGCGCAUCAGCCACGGCGCGGUGAAUACGUUCCCGGGCCUUGUACACACCGCCCGUCAAGCCAUGGGAGCCGGGGGUACCUGAAGUGCGUAACCGCGAGGAGCGCCCUAGGGUAAAACUGGUGACUGGGGCUAAGUCAUAACAAGG